UACGUAGGGGGCAAGCGUUGUCCGGAAUCAUUGGGCGUAAAGAGCGCGUAGGCGGUCCGGUAAGUCCGCUCUGAAAGCCCGGGGCUCAACCCCGGGAGGCGGGCGGAUACUGUCGGGCUAGAGUCCGGAAGAGGCGAGUGGAAUUUCCGGUGUAGCGGUGAAAUGCGUAGAUAUCGGAAGGAACACCUGUGGCGAAAGCGGCUCACUGGACCAUUACUGACGCUGAGGCACGAAAGCUAGGGGAGCAAACAGG
rnacentral:rRNA from 1 species